rnacentral:misc_RNA from 1 species
GAUGAAGAACGUAGCGAAAUGCGAUAAGUAAUGUGAAUUGCAGAAUUCAGUGAAUCAUCGAAUCUUUGAACGCACAUUGCGCCCAUUAGUAUUCUAGUGGGCAUGCCUGUUCGAGCGUCAUUAAGUCCACUUAAGCCCUGCUUAGUGUUGGGAGACUGCUCCAGCGGUGCUACCCUGUAGCUACCCUGCAGCUCCUCAAAGACAGCGGCGGAGUUGUGGUAUCCUCUGAGCUUAGUAACUUGUUCUAGCUUUCGAGUACACCACUUCCCCUGCUGUAAAACCCUUAAUUUUUAAUGGUUGACCUCGGAUCAGGUAGGAAUACCCGCUGAACUUAAGCAUAUCAAUAAGCGGAGGA